UCUGACGGCCCGCGCCGUCGGACAAACAUAUACCACGAUACGGGGAGCCGGACGCUUCUUGCAUGGGUGCGGCGCGUAUGCCCGCCGCGCUUUCAUGGCUCCGCGUUACGCAUUUUAGACGGCAUACCGAGAAAGAAAUGUACGAGGUAUCAAUUUUUAUUAUGAACAGC
rnacentral:ncRNA from 1 species